rnacentral:rRNA from 1 species
CCCUUAGAUGUUCUGGGCCGCACGCGCGCUACACUGAUGCAUUCAACGAGUCCAACCUUGACCGAGAGGUCCGGGUAAUCUUUGAAACUGCAUCGUGAUGGGGCUAGAUUAUUGCAAUUAUUAAUCUUCAACGAGGAAUGCCUAGUAAGCGUGAUUCAUCAAAUCGCGUUGAUUACGUCCCUGCCCUUUGUACACACCGCCCGUCGCUCCUACCGAUUGAGUGUGUUGGUGAGGAGUUUGGAUUGGCCUCGGAAGGUGGUUCGCUACCGUCCGUAGCUGAGAAGUUCUCCAAACCGCCCCACUUAGAGGAAGGAGAAGUCGUAACA